rnacentral:rRNA from 1 species
GACGAACGCUGGCGGCGUGCUUAACACAUGCAAGUCGAACGGAAAGGCCUCUUUCGGGGGGUACUCGAGUGGCGAACGGGUGAGUAACACGUGAGUAACCUGCCCUUGACUUUGGGAUAACUUCAGGAAACUGGGGCUAAUACCGGAUAGGAGCUCCUGCUGCAUGGUGGGGGUUGGAAAGUUUCGGCGGUUGGGGAUGGACUCGCGGCUUAUCAGCUUGUUGGUGGGGUAGUGGCUUACCAAGGCUUUGACGGGUAGCCGGCCUGAGAGGGUGACCGGCCACAUUGGGACUGAGAUACGGCCCAGACUCCUACGGGAGGCAGCGGUGGGGAAUAUUGCACAAUGGGUGGAAGCCUGAUGCAGCAACGCCGUGUGCGGGAUGACGGCCUUCGGGUUGUAAACCGCUUUCGCUCAUGACGAAGCUUUAUGUGACGGUAGUGGGUAAAGAAGCACCGGCUAACUACGUG